ACGGGGGUUGCGAGCGUUGUCCGGAAUUAUUAGGCGUAAAGGGCGGGCAGGUGGGUUCUUAAGUCUGUUUUCAAAGGGCAGGGCUUAACUCCGUGAUGGGAUAGAAACUGGGAUUCUUGAGAACCGGAGAGGAAAGCGGAAUUCCCCGUGUAGCGGUGAAAUGCGUAGAUAUGGGGAGGAACACCAGUGGCGAAGGCGGCUUUCUGGACGGUGUCUGACACUGAGGCGCGAAAGCCAGGGGAGCGAACGG
rnacentral:rRNA from 1 species